CAACUUUAAACAACAGAUCUCUUGGUUAUGGCAUCGAUGAAGAACACAUCUAAAUGCAAUACGUACUGUGAAUUGCACAAUUCAGUGAAUCAUCUAAUCUUUGAACGCACAUUGCGCCCUUUGGUAUUCCAAAGGACAUGCCUGUUCUAGCGUCAUUU
rnacentral:rRNA from 1 species